UCAGGACGAACGCUGGCGGCGUGCCUAAUACAUGCAAGUCGAGCGGACAGAAGGGAGCUUGCUCCCGKAUGUUAGCGGCGGACGGGUGAGUAACACGUGGGUAACCUGCCUGUAAGACUGGGAUAACUCCGGGAAACCGGAGCUAAUACCGGAUAGUUCCUUGAACCGCAUGGUUCAAGGAUGAAAGACGGUUUCGGCUGUCACUUACAGAUGGACCCGCGGCGCAUUAGCUAGUUGGUGGGGUAAUGGCUCACCAAGGCGACGAUGCGUAGCCGACCUGAGAGGGUGAUCGGCCACACUGGGACUGAGACACGGCCCAGACUCCUACGGGAGGCAGCAGUAGGGAAUCUUCCGCAAUGGACGAAAGUCUGACGGAGCAACGCCGCGUGAGUGAUGAAGGUUUUCGGAUCGUAAAGCUCUGUUGUUAGGGAAGAACAAGUGCGAGAGUAACUGCUCGCACCUUGACGGUACCUAACCAGAAAGCCACGGCUAACUACGUGCCAGCAGCCGCGGUAAUACGUAGGUGGCAAGCGUUGUCCGGAAUUAUUGGGCGUAAAGGGCUCGCAGGCGGUUUCUUAAGUCUGAUGUGAAAGCCCCCGGCUCAACCGGGGAGGGUCAUUGGAAACUGGGAAACUUGAGUGCAGAAGAGGAGAGUGGAAUUCCACGUGUAGCGGUGAAAUGCGUAGAGAUGUGGAGGAACACCAGUGGCGAAGGCGACUCUCUGGUCUGUAACUGACGCUGAGGAGCGAAAGCGUGGGGAGCGAACAGGAUUAGAUACCCUGGUAGUCCACGCCGUAAACGAUGAGUGCUAAGUGUUAGGGGGUUUCCGCCCCUUAGUGCUGCAGCUAACGCAUAAGC
rnacentral:rRNA from 1 species